rnacentral:rRNA from 1 species
UACGUAGGGUGCAAGCGUUACUCGGAAUUACUGGGCGUAAAGCGUGCGCAGGCGGUUUCGUAAGACAGAUGUGAAAUCCCCGGGCUUAACCUGGGAACUGCAUUUGUGACUGCGAGGCUAGAGUGUGUCAGAGGGAGGUGGAAUUCCGCGUGUAGCAGUGAAAUGCGUAGAGAUGCGGAGGAACACCGAUGGCGAAGGCAGCCUCCUGGGAUAACACUGACGCUCAUGCACGAAAGCGUGGGGAGCAAACAGG